AUUGAACGCUGGCGGCAUGCCUUACACACGCAAGUCGAACGGCAGCACGGGGCAACCUGGUGGCGAGUGGCGAACGGGUGAGUAAUGCAUCGGAACGUACCUUUCAGUGGGGGAUAACGUAGCGAAAGUUACGCUAAUACCGCAGAUUCUGUGAGCAGGAAAGCAGGGGAUCGAAAGACCUUGCGCUGAUUGAGCGGCCGAUGUCAGAUUAGCUAGUUGGUGAGGUAAAGGCUCACCAAGGCGACGAUCUGUAGCGGGUCUGAGAGGAUGAUCCGCCACACUGGAACUGAGACACGGUCCAGACUCCUACGGGAGGCAGCAGUGGGGAAUUUUGGACAAUGGGGGCAACCCUGAUCCAGCCAUGCCGCGUGAGUGAAGAAGGCCUUCGGGUUGUAAAGCUCUUUCGGCCGGGAAGAAAUCGCACGGGCUAAUACCCUGUGUGGAUGACGGUACCGGAAUAAGAAGCACCGGCUAACUACGUGCCAGCAGCCGCCGUAAGAC
rnacentral:rRNA from 1 species